GGAAGGGGCCUUUUAGGCAUCCUCUCCCAAAAAACUUCCAUAGGGCUGGUCUUCGGACCGGCCCUUUCUUUUUGGCGGU
rnacentral:sRNA from 1 species